CACGUAGGCACCAAGCGUUGUCCGGAUUUAUUGGGCGUAAAGGGCUCGUAGGCGGUUCGGUAAGUCGGGUGGGAAAACUCUGGGCUCAACCCAGAGCCGCCACCCGAUACUGCUGUGACUCGAGUGCGGUAGGGGAGCGGGGAAUUCCUGGUGUAGCGGUGAAAUGCGCAGAUAUCAGGAGGAACACCAGUGGCGAAGGCGCCGCUCUGGGCCGUGACUGACGCUGAAGAGCGAAAGCGUGGGUAGCAAACAGG
rnacentral:rRNA from 1 species